GGAGUUGGAGGCACACUUCAUUUCUCUGCCCAGCUCGGCAGGCGGCUGGAGCAAACCAGGAGAUCGCCUCAAAUGUUUUAAAUGUCAAUAUGGUCCCUUCUUGCUGGCUUGCCAAGAUUUGACCAGCUAAAUUGGCCUGUGUGGUGUGUUCCCUGCAGUGCACGGUACGAAUUUAGAUCUUUCAUCAAUGCUGUAAGGGAGGCUGGACAGCCGUCAACAGCAGCAUGCAAAUUCCCAGGGAUGCUGUUCUGAAGGCUUCCACCUCCAUCUUGAGAGCUACUUCCUGUCUCUUUGGGGCUUCAGUUUCCAUAAAGGCCCUCAUUGAACCCUUGGGCCCUAAUUGGAUUGGGGAAGAGACCAGUCCCAUUUGGGAGACCACAGUGCCUUCAGCACCCUUGGCAAACUUCUUGGGUGCUGCAGUCCUGCCUAAUGCCAGCCUUCUAGCAAGG
rnacentral:lncRNA from 1 species